rnacentral:rRNA from 1 species
UAGGGAAUAUUGGGCAAUGGGCGAGAGCCUGACCCAGCCAUGCCGCGUGCAGGAUGAAGGCUUUCUGAGUCGUAAACUGCUUUUGCCAGGGAAGAAAAAGGGGGAUGCGUCCCCCACUGACGGUACCUGGUGAAUAAGCACCGGCUAACUCCGUGCCAGCAGCCGCGGUAAUACGGAGGGUGCAAGCGUUGUCCGGAUUUAUUGGGUUUAAAGGGUGCGUAGGCGGCCGUUUAAGUCUGGGGUGAAAGCCCACUGCUCAACAGUGGAACUGCCCUGGAAACUGGACGGCUUGAGUACAGACGAGGGUGGCGGAAUGGAUGGUGUAGCGGUGAAAUGCAUAGAUACCAUCCAGAACCCCGAUUGCGAAGGCAGCUGCCUAGACUGUAACUGACGCUGAGGCACGAAAGCGUGGGGAGCGAACA